GGUUCGCUUAGCCGCGAUUAAUUGGGAACGUGAGUGAGAAUCUCCGACUGUCCCGCAGCAGUAUACUCCGUUAUGGCUCCUAAGUAAUGACGCCAUUGUCCAUUUGGACGAGAAGGCACUUGGGAGUGGAGGAAAGUCUGAAGACCAGCCUUUUUCGUU
rnacentral:ncRNA from 1 species